GACGAACGCUGGCGGCGUGCUUAACACAUGCAAGUCGAACGGAAAGACCCUGCUUUUGUGGGGUGCUCGAGUGGCGAACGGGUGAGUAACACGUGAGUAACCUGCCCUUGACUUUGGGAUAACUUCAGGAAACUGGGGCUAAUACCGGAUAGGAGCUCCUGCUGCAUGGUGGGGGUUGGAAAGUUUCGGCGGUUGGGGAUGGACUCGCGGCUUAUCAGCUUGUUGGUGGGGUAGUGGCUUACCAAGGCUUUGACGGGUAGCCGGCCUGAGAGGGUGACCGGCCAACAUGGGACUGGGGUACGGGCCAGGCUCCUACGGGAGGCCGCAGUGGGGAAUAUUUCACCAUGGGCGGAAGCCUGAUGCAGCCACGCCGCGUGCGGGAUGACGGCCUUCGGGUUGUAAACCGCUUUCGCCUGUGACGAAGCGUGAGUGACGGUAAUGGGUAAAGAAGCACCGGCUAACUACGUG
rnacentral:rRNA from 1 species